GAUUGGCUUAAAUUUUGAAUUGAUUACAUGAACGAAGUCACCUCGUGAGAUGGAACUUUCUGAGGCAUAUAUUAUGUCUGCCCAAGCCAAUC